AUUUAAUAAAUACACUUCUGUCAUGGUGCCUCUGUCAGUCUCCUCCCCCUCUCCACUCUCCUCUCCUCUCCACCUGGCUGCUGAUCAUCCCCAGCUGCAACCACUCAUCUCGUCUCCUCACCUGCCUACUUAAGGAGCUCCAGGACCUUCAUUCCCCGCCAGUCCGUUGCCCCUGAUGGAAUAUCCUACCACGAGUGGUUGCGUGUUUUCGUCCUGCGUCCAGAUCUCCAGUCGGAUCUUCUCUCCACGGUCACACCACGAGCCUCUGCCUCUGCUCCACGUUCCCGAGUCCAAGACGGCCAUCUCCCUCUCGGAGGACAAGAUCGCCAACUACGCCUCCAACCUCUGCCUCCUGCUCGGAACCUGCUUCCUGUCCUGUUCAGGACCCCACCUCCUCGUCACACUAUUAAACUCAUUACCUAC